rnacentral:rRNA from 1 species
AGUGAACGCUGGCGGUAGGCCUAACACAUGCAAGUCGAACGGCAGCACAGUAAGAGCUUGCUCUUACGGGUGGCGAGUGGCGGACGGGUGAGGAAUACAUCGGAAUCUACUUUUUCGUGGGGGAUAACGUAGGGAAACUUACGCUAAUACCGCAUACGACCUACGGGUGAAAGCAGGGGAUCUUCGGACCUUGCGCGAUUGAAUGAGCCGAUGUCGGAUUAGCUAGUUGGCGGGGUAAAGGCCCACCAAGGCGACGAUCCGUAGCUGGUCUGAGAGGAUGAUCAGCCACACUGGAACUGAGACACGGUCCAGACUCCUACGGGAGGCAGCAGUGGGGAAUAUUGGACAAUGGGCGCAGGCCUGAUCCAGCCAUACCGCGUGGGUGAAGAAGGCCUUCGGGCUGUAAAGCCCUUUUGUUGGGAAAGAAAAGCAGCAGGUUAAUACCCCGCUGUUCUGACGGUACCCAAAGAAUAAGCACCGGCUAACUUCGUG